GCAAUUAUAGUAUAACCUAUUACGUUACAUUUUCAUUGUAAAGAUGAAUUAGAUUCUAAUAGCU
rnacentral:tRNA from 1 species